GAAUAUGCAUAGAAAGGGAAACAGUAGUGCUUAUCUCCCUGUUUGAAGAGAGCUGAUGGCUGGUGAGAAUCAGUACAAAGAUAAGCAUGAAUUACAGCCCUAGAGCAUCUUUUUCGUAGUAGAGAUAAAGAUCUUUAUGAAGGGAAAGACGGUCAUAUAGAUCGUUAACAAUGAUAAGAGGUAGACAAAAAUAGUCUACAAUUAGGGUGGUACCGCGAUAAUAAUCGUCCCUACU
rfam:Bacillus gaemokensis strain JCM 15801 contig23, whole genome shotgun sequence.